GUCCCGCCUGCCCUGUGACCAAAAGUUUAACGGCCGCGGUAUUUUAACCGUGCAAAGGUAGCGCAAUCAAUUGUCUUUUAAAUGGAGACCUGUAUGAAUGGCAUAACGAGGGUUUUACUGUCUCUUUUUUCUGGUCAAUGAAACUGAUCUGCCCGUGCAGAAGCGGGCAUAAUAACACAAGACGAGAAGACCCUAUGGAGCUUUAGACGCCCACCAACCGCGAAGAGCACCCCGACGACGGGCCACCAAAUAACGCGACCAUGGUAUAAACGUCUUCGGUUGGGGCGACCACGGGGGAACACAAAGCCCCCGAGAGGAUUGGGGAUCCAACCCUAAAACCAAGAGCCACAGCUCUAAGUCACAAAACAUUUGACCCAGAAUGAUCCGGCUCAUUGCCGAUCAACGGACCAAGUUACCCUAGGGAUAACAGCGCAAUCCUCUCCCAGAGUCCAUAUCGACGAGAGGGUUUACGACCUCGAUGUUGGAUCAGGACAUCCUAAUGGUGCAGCCGCUAUUAAGGGUUCGUUUGUUCAACGAUUAAAGUCCUACGUGAUCUG
rnacentral:rRNA from 1 species